UUUAUCAUUUGAGCGUCGACACUCAGACAUCGACACUGCAGCACGAAAUUACUAUGGUGCCGUCACUCGUAACAUCUCUUCCUCUGAUCUUGGUGAUCAUGACUGCGAGGGUUGAUGGUCAGCAGUAUCUGACAGUGAAUUAUGGUCCUUCAUAUGUUUGUGCAUUAAAGGGGUCAACAGUGAAUCUCUCUUGUACUGUAAAAUAUCCUCAUGAUCAUGAGCUCAAAACAGCUUUCUGGACCAAACCUGCUGUAAAUGAUGGAGAUCCACCGAACCUGUGUUUAGACCCAGAAAAGAGAGGAAGAGUUCAGUGUGAGAGUGAAGAUAAAGACACUCACAGUAUCACUUUGAUGAAUGUAACAGAAGCAGAUAAACACAUCUACUACUGCAGAUUCACUACAAACAGAGGAAGAUGGACAGGGAUUCCUG